GGGUCAAUGAUGACGAUCUAAAUUGUCUAAAGGAAGGUGAUGAAUAAAAAAAUCAUAAACAAGAGGACUGAGCUGAGGUCA